ACGGCCCGUCUGCAAACCAGGACUGAGCCACGUCCUUCAGCUCUCUCAAGGCUUUCUCCAUGGGCACAGAGUGAAAAAUAAUGUGCGGGUGGAUCGCCCACGUUCCAGCAGCUGCGUUCACCGUGUGACAGGUUGGGAAGCACUGUCACACCAGCUUCAACACCCCUGUGAGCCCGAGCUGGGGGAGGAGAGUCACCCCAUAGAUCCGACGAGGAAAGCCAGACUCAGAGAAGGCGAGGCCUUGCCCAUGAGCCAGCAGUCACCCCCUAGACCAAACCUGAGCUGGACUCUCUGCCACUGGCUCCUGCAGGCCCGAGGCAAUCAAUGUUGUUGGGUGAGCAAAU
rnacentral:lncRNA from 1 species